rnacentral:rRNA from 1 species
CCUAAUACAUGCAAGUCGAGCGGACAGAUGGGAGCUCGCUCCCUGAUGUUAGCGGCGGACGGGUGAGUAACACGUGGGUAACCUGCCUGUAAGACUGGGAUAACCCCGGGAAACCGGGGCUAAUACCGGAUGGUUGUUUGAACCGCAUGGUUCAAACAUAAAAGGUGGCUUCGGCUACCACUUACAGAUGGACCCGCGGCGCAUUAGCUAGUUGGCGAGGUAACGGCUCACCAAGGCGACGAUGCGUAGCCGACCUGAGAGGGUGAUCGGCCACACUGGGACUGAGACACGACCCAGACUCCUACGGGAGGCAGCAGUAGGGAAUCUUCCGCAAUGGACGAAAGUCUGACGGAGCAACGCCGCGUGAGUGAUGAAGGUUUUCGGAUCGUAAAGCUCUGUUGUUAGGGAAGAACAAGUACCGUUCGAAUAGGGCGGUACCUUGACGGUACCUAACCAGAAAGCCACGGCUAACUACGUGCCAGCAGCCGCGGUAAUACGUAGGUGGCAAGCGUUGUCCGGAAUUAUUGGGCGUAAAGGGCUCGCAGGCGGUUUCUUAAGUCUGAUGUGAAAGCCCCCGGCUCAACCGGGGAGGGUCAUUGGAAACUGGGGAACUUGAGUGCAGAAGAGGAGAGUGGAAUUCCACGUGUAGCGGUGAAAUGCGUAGAGAUGUGGAGGAACACCAGCGGCGAAGGCGACUCUCUGGUCUGUAACUGACGCUGAGGAGCGAAAGCGUGGGGAGCGAACAGGAUUAGAUACCCUGGUAGUCCACGCCGUAAACGAUGAGUGCUAAGUGUUAGGGGGUUUCCGCCCCUUAGUGCUGCAGCUAACGCAUUAAGCACUCCGCCUGGGGAGCACGGUCGCAAGACUGAAA